rnacentral:rRNA from 1 species
GUGGCAGCCGCCGCGGUAAUACGGAGGGUGCAAGCGUUAUCCGGAUUCGUUGGGUUUAAAAGGGUGCGCAGGCGGAUACUUAAGUCAGUGGUGAAAUCCCGGGGCUCAACCCCGGAACUGCCAUUGAUACUGAAUAUCUGGAAUACGGUUGAAGUGGGCGGAAUGUAGCAUGUAGCGGUGAAAUGCAUAGAGAUGCUACAGAACACCGAUCGCGAAGGCAGCUCACUAAGCCGAUAUUGACGCUCAGGCACGAAAGCGUGGGGAGCGAACAGGAUUAGAUACCCUGGUAGUCCACGCCGUAAACGAUGAUAACUCGUUGUUGGCGACACACAGUCAGCGACUAAGCGAAAGCGAUAAGUUAUCCACCUGGGGAGUACGAUCGCAAGGUUGAAACUUAAAGGAAUUGACGG